rnacentral:rRNA from 1 species
UACGUAGGGUGCAAGCGUUGUCCGGAAUUAUUGGGCGUAAAGAGCUCGUAGGCGGUUUGUUGCGUCGGCUGUGAAAUCCCGAGGCUCAACCUCGGGUCUGCAGUCGAUACGAGCAAACUAGAGUGUUGCAGGGGAGACUGGAAUUCCUGGUGUAGCGGUGAAAUGCGCAGAUAUCAGGAGGAACACCGGUGGCGAAGGCGGAUCUCUGGGCCUGUCCUGACGCUCAGGCGCGAAAGCUAGGGGAGCAAACAGG